UUGAGAAUAUAUUCUCUAAUGAGAAACUGCACAGCCAAACCAAACCUACUCCUUCUUUCUCCUUCCAGAUUCAUAAGUUCCUUAAUCUUAAACAGGAGUCUGAUAGUGAAGAGGGAUUAGAUGUUCAAGAAGAUACAAUUUCAACAUCACAGGAUGAUAAAACAGAUAUACAGGAUGAGGCAGAUGACAAGUUGAAGAAGUUUAAAACAACUCUUUCCCAACAUGAUGAUUGGAGCGCACGCCGAAG